GUCCAUGCCGUAAACGAUGGAUACUAGCUGUUGGGCGCAAGUUCAGUGGCUAAGCGAAAGUGAUAAGUAUCCCACCUGGGGAGUACGUUCGCAAGAAUGAAACUCAAAGGAAUUGACGGGGGCCCGCACAAGCGGUGGAGCAUGUGGUUUAAUUCGAUGAUACGCGAGGAACCUUACCAAGGCUUAAAAUGUAGAUUGAACCGUUUUGGAAACAGAACUUUCGCAAAGACAAUUUACAAGGUGCUGCAUGGUUGUCGU
rnacentral:rRNA from 1 species